GAAGAAGUUGAACUGUUUGCUGCCAUGCUGCUGUUAUGACCUGUUUCAAAGAAACUUCCAUGUGGGAUUUCUGGCUCUAGCCCUUCAGGUUGACUCUCUUGUCCCUGCCCUGGGUCACCGGUGGCAUACGUGGCACGAACGGACGGCGUGAGCAAUGUGGGCUUGGGCAGCAUCUGGCACAUUGGACUCUUUUUCCUUUCACUGCAAAUGGACAGCAGGCAGUCCCUGCAUGGAUAGCACUCACUGUCAGGUAGGCAUUUUUUUUUCCCUUGCAGGUUCUCAAGCCCUAUUUGUUGAACAUCCCACGCGUCUUGUUUUAAGGAGACAAUUAUUUUCUCAGAAGACUUUCUACGUGACUUAUAUGCAAACCAUGAGGGUGGCAUCAUCUCCAGAUUACACACAGGAACUGAGACCCGUGUCAGAAGUGUCCAUGUUGUGUGCGCUAACCAUUUUGGAUGGACAGCUUGAGAUGCUGAGGACCCAGCUUUUGGAGCAGCUGACAUUAUUUGGCACUUUCUCUAAUCAAAGCCAGGUAACCCAAGGUAAGCCUUGUGGGAAAGGCUUUUUCUCAGCUUCUUUCUGGGACUCAAAACACAGCAGAGAAAGACUUCCAGGUCUCAGUUCCUCGCCCGUACCCAGGAUGGCCAAGAGACUGAGGGAACUGAAGUUAUAGAGAAGGGCCUACUCAGCUCUAAGCUGGACUUUGCUUCCAGAAAAUGAAGAUAAAAGUCCCUAGCAGGUCUUUACAUAUGCAGCACAUAUUUUUUUCGGACAGUUGUAACCUGGAAACAGGCAAAAGUACAUUUCCUGCCAAGCUGUCAUUCCUUCCUCCUGAGGAUGGUGACAUUGCAACCUUUACAUAUUUUUUAACGCGAAAAAACAA